rnacentral:rRNA from 1 species
CCUACGGGUGGCAGCAGUCGAGAAUCAUUCACAAUGGGGGAAACCCUGAUGGUGCGACGCCGCGUGGGGGAAUGAAGGCCUUCGGAUUGUAAACCCCUGUCAUGUGGGAGCAAAUUAAAAAGAUAGUAGCACUAGAGGAAGAGACGACGAACUCGGUGCCAGCAGCCGCGGUAAUACAGAGGUCUCAAGAGGUGUGCGGAAUCCCUGGGCGGAAAGCGUGCGUAGGCUGUUUCGUAAGUCGUGUGUGAAAGGUGCGGGGUUAAACCGCGGACAGCACAUGAUACUGGGAGACUAGAGUAAUGGAGAGGGAAGCGGAAUUCUCGGUGUAGCAGUGAAAUGCGUAGAUAUCGAGCAGAACUCUCGUGGCGAAGGCAGGUUCCUGGACAUUAACUGACGCUGAGGCACGAAGGUCAGGGGAGCGAAAGGGAUUAGAUACCCCGGUAGUC